rnacentral:rRNA from 1 species
CAGAUCUAGCUUGCUAGAUGCUGACGAGUGGCGCACGGGUGCGUAACGCGUAUACAAUCUACCUUUAACUGAGGGAUAGCCCAGAGAAUUUGGAUUAAUACCUCAUAGUAUUAUAAUUAGGCAUCUUUUUAUAAUUAAAACUUCGGUGGUUAAAGAUGAGUAUGCGUACUAUUAGCUAGUUGGUAAGGUAAAAGCUUACCAAGGCAACGAUAGUUAGGGGGCCUGAAAGGGUGAUCCCCCACACUGGUACUGAGACACGGACCAGACUCCUACGGGAGGCAGCAGUGAGGAAUAUUGCACAAUGGAGGAAACUCUGAUGCAGCCAUGCCGCGUGCAGGAAGAAUGCCCUAUGGGUUGUAAACUGCUUUUAUACAAGAAGAAACCUCGGUACGUGUACCGACUUGACGGUAUUGUAUGAAUAAGCACCGGCUAACUCCGUGCCAGCAGCCGCGGUAAUACGGAGGGUGCAAGCGUUAUCCGGAUUUAUUAGG